CCCUUGCCCCGUCCCUGCACAGAUCCAGGCUGUCUCUUGCGGUGCGCAUGCACCUACCGUAUCGUUAUCAACGUCUCCGAGGCAGAUUGCGUGCGGGAAGAGGCUCCCGCUGAACUCCAGCGCCACGCGCUGCACGUAGCUAACUGACCUCAUGGCACCUCCAAGAGCAGAGGGAGCGGAGAGGCCCAGAUGCAGAGCUGGAAGAAACCUCAGGAAUGCUUUCGAUUUUGCAGAUGAGGACAGAAGCCCAGGACUUGCCAAAGGAACCUCAUGGGAGAGUCUGGAUUAGUUCAGAGACCUCACCUUUCC
rnacentral:lncRNA from 1 species